AUUGAACGCUGGCGGCAUGCCUUACACAUGCAAGUCGAGCGGCAGCACGGGGCAACCUGGUGGCGAGUGGCGAACGGGUGAGUAAUGCAUCGGAACGUACCUUUCAGUGGGGGAUAACGUAGUGAAAGUUACGCUAAUACCGCAUAUUCUGUGAGCAGGAAAGCAGGGGAUCGCAAGACCUUGCGCUGAUUGAGCGGCCGAUGUCAGAUUAGCUAGUUGGUGAGGUAAAGGCUCACUAAGGCGACGAUCUGUAGCGGGUCUGAGAGGAUGAUCCGCCAUCCUGGACCUCAGGCACGGUCCAGACUCCUACGGGAGGAAGCAGUGGGGAAUUUUGGACAAUGGGGGAAACCCUAAUCCAGCCAUGCCUCGUGAUUGAAGAAGGCCUUCGGGUUGUAAAGCUCUCUCGGCCGAGAAGAAAUCGCACGGGCUAAUACCCUGUGUGGAUGACGGUACCGGAACAAGAAGCACCGGCUAACUACGUGCCAGCCGCCGCUGUAACAC
rnacentral:rRNA from 1 species